rnacentral:rRNA from 1 species
AGCGAACGCUGGUGGCAGGCCUAACACAUGCAAGUCGAACGAGGUCUUCGGAUCUAGUGGCGGACGGGUGAGUAACACGUGGGAACGUGCCCUUUGGUACGGAAUAACUCAGGGAAACUUGAGCUAAUACCGUAUGUGCCCUUCGGGGGAAAGAUUUAUCGCCAUUGGAGCGGCCCGCGUCUGAUUAGCUAGUUGGUGGUGUAAUGGACCACCAAGGCUACGAUCAGUAGCUGGUCUGAGAGGAUGAUCAGCCACACUGGGACUGAGACACGGCCCAGACUCCUACGGGAGGCAGCAGUAGGGAAUCUUGCGCAAUGGGCGAAAGCCUGACGCAGCCAUGCCGCGUGAAUGAUGAAGGUCUUAGGAUUGUAAAAUUCUUUCACCGGGGAAGAUAAUGACGGUACCCGGAGAAGAAGCCCCGGCUAACUUCGUGCCAGCCGCCGCCGUAACAC